CCUGGCUCAGAUUGAACGCUGGCGGCAGGCCUAACACAUGCAAGUCGAACGGUAGCACAGAGAGCUUGCUCUCGGGUGACGAGUGGCGGACGGGUGAGUAAUGUCUGGGAAACUGCCCGAUGGAGGGGGAUAACUACUGGAAACGGUAGCUAAUACCGCAUAAUGUCGCAAGACCAAAGAGGGGGACCUUCGGGCCUCUUGCCAUCGGAUGUGCCCAGAUGGGAUUAGCUUGUUGGUGAGGUAAUGGCUCACCAAGGCGACGAUCCCUAGCUGGUCUGAGAGGAUGACCAGCCACACUGGAACUGAGACACGGUCCAGACUCCUACGG
rnacentral:rRNA from 1 species